rnacentral:lncRNA from 1 species
GGGAGGAGUCUGGCAGGAAGGAAGCCAAGAAUCAGUAUUUCAAGCAUCCAAAAUGUGUAGGAGAAUAUGGACCCAAGAACGGAGCAGAGAGACAAAUAGAGGAACGGAAAGUUUUGCCUACAACCAUGAUGUUCUCAAUGUUAGCUGACUGUGUUCUAAAAUCCACUCCAAUUCCCAUUUUGGGAGUUGCUAUGUGAUGAAGGUCUGCCCCUGUGGUGUUGGGACAACUUGCUCAUGGAGUUGCAGUUCUUGCCUAACAGGAACCCACCAUGAAAGCACAAGCAAGAAUGUGUGAGAAGAUCACAGAGACCUAAAGAAGGGGAAGGGAAGAACCCACAUGUGAGAGAGAAGAGAUUGUCUGACUUGGUCUCUUAGGGCUCCUCAUCUCAAGAAGCCAGCAGGCAAGGGAAGGACAAACCAUCCUUGCAGGAAUAAUUCGUACUGAUCAUUUGGAGGAGAUUCGGCUAGUAUAGCUGCUGUUACAUAAUGAAGAAAAGGAAGAAUAUGUUUCAAACUCAGAUGAACCACUGGGGAGUCUCUUGAUACUCUGUUGCCUAAUUUGGAUGGUUAAUGGUCAGUGUUCCUAAUUGCACUGCCCCUGGAAAACGCACGGAGAAGAAAUACAGCAAAAUACAUGAGAUGGUGAAACACUCUGGCAACUGCAAGCGGACAGAUGGGAUCUGGGAGGUAAUGCAGGGUCACAGGGCAGUUACACCAGGAUAUUUGGUUCUUUCCUACUCUCCUUUCCCCACCCUCAAUGCUAUAUACAUAACUGCUAGUGAAUCAAUUUAUGUACAUAUCCCAGAUAUCUAGGACUGGUUGAGGCGGGUUAUCCAAGAGAGUCACAGUGUAUUACCAUUUUUUAUUAAGUACAACCAGACCAACAGAGAACUGAUUAACUCAACCACUGAACUUUAUGUUUUCCCCCAUCAUCUAUAGAAUUGAUUUUACUGGAUUUUGACAUGUCAGUUUAUCACUUACUUUAUCCUUCAGUGAAGGACACACUAAGGAAUGGAGUUAUUAAGCUUGUUCUACUGGCUGUGAGGAUGUUGUUGAGGGACAUUGUUCAUGACGUUAUGUUGUGUCAUUUUUAUGAGGACUCAAUGGAAGGACUUCUGUCUGAUUUCAGUACUGGAAGUAGUCAUACUUCUCCUGAGCAACCAUUUUCUUUCUCCGUUAUAAAAAUCUCAUUGUCUCUGUGAA